UUGCUUAUAUCACGCAAGUGAUGAGACCAAAAUCACUUGCACAACCAACUAUCAAGUUCGAAUUUAGCUAACACUUAGGAAAUCUUAGACUCAAUUAUAAUUCUAACAAGUAUCAUAUAAGGAAUUUUAACAGUCCAAACAGUUCUUCAUAUUUGUUCAACCCUUAAGAAACCCAGAACCAAAUUGCAACUACUAACAAUUAUAUCGUUAAUCUAGCAGUUCAAUAGUCCCAGAUUUUGUUUACAUUCAUAGAACUUAACCAAAUCAAAGAACCUACUCAAAACAUAAGAAUAAUAGACAACAAUUUUAACAAAAUUGCAGCUGAUUUCAUUUCAAUUAUCAACUGGACUUCUACAUUUGUAUCAGGCUUGGUAAAUGUACCUGGAAAUUGUAAAUAGGAAAUGCAAGUGAGACCAGUAGCAAUAGAGGGGAAAGCAAUAUAUCACAGCCAUGGUGAAGCCAUCUAAGCCCAGCAGAAUACCAGUAAGAGAUACAAUCAAUGAAGCAAACACUCCAUUUGUUCCAACAAAAACCCCAGGACUCAAUCUAAUAGCAACUCUUAAACUUUUAUCUGAGCAGGAAGCUAUUGGAAAUAAAUCAAUGGAACAAUAGUAAUUUGAUCGGAUGUAUACAUGCUUAAUUCUGGCAAUCCAGCC
rnacentral:lncRNA from 1 species